UACGUAGGGUGCGAGCGUUGUCCGGAAUUAUUGGGCGUAAAGAGCUUGUAGGUGGCUCGUCGCGUCGGGAGUGAAAACCCGCGGCUUAACCGCGGGCCUGCUUUCGAUACGGGCGGGCUAGAGUUCGGCAGGGGAGACUGGAAUUCCUGGUGUAGCGGUGGAAUGCGCAGAUAUCGGAAGGAACACCAGUGGCGAAAGCGGCUUCCUGGUCCGACACCGACGUUCAGGCACGAAAGCGUGGGGAGCAAACAGG
rnacentral:rRNA from 1 species